rnacentral:rRNA from 1 species
UACGGAGGGGGGCUAGCGUUGUUCGGAAUUACUGGGCGUAAAGCGCACGUAGGCGGCUUUGUAAGUUAGAGGUGAAAGCCCGGGGCUCAACUCCGGAACUGCCUUUAAGACUGCAUCGCUUGAAUCAUGGAGAGGUUAGUGGAAUUCCGAGUGUAGAGGUGAAAUUCGUAGAUAUUCGGAAGAACACCAGUGGCGAAGGCGGCUCACUGGACCGGUAUUGACGCUGAUGUGCGAAAGCGUGGGGAGCAAACAGG